CUUCCAAAGUUUGCAAAUUUUGUAUACUUUUGUAUUGCAAUUUUCGCAUGCAAUACAAAAGUAUACAAAAUUUGCAAACUUUGCAGGCUAUAUU